rnacentral:rRNA from 1 species
AUUGAACGCUGGCGGCAUGCUUUACACAUGCAAGUCGAACGGCAGCGCGGGCUUCGGCCUGGCGGCGAGUGGCGAACGGGUGAGUAAUGCAUCGGAACGUGCCCAGUAGUGGGGGAUAGCCCGGCGAAAGCCGGAUUAAUACCGCAUACGACCUGAGGGUGAAAGCGGGGGACCGAAAGGCCUCGCGCUAUUGGAGCGGCCGAUGUCGGAUUAGCUAGUUGGUGGGGUAAAGGCUUACCAAGGCGACGAUCCGUAGCUGGUCUGAGAGGGCGACCAGCCACACUGGGACUGAGACGCGGCCCAGACUCCUACGGGAGGCAGCAGUGGGGAAUUUUGGACAAUGGGGGCAACCCUGAUCCAGCCAUGCCGCGUGCGGGAAGAAGGCCUUCGGGUUGUAAACCGCUUUUGUUCGGGAAGAAAUCCUCUGGGCUAAUACCCCGGGGGGAUGACGGUACCGGAAGAAUAAGCACCGGCUAACUACGUG